UACGGGGGGGGCAAGCGUUGUUCGGAAUUACUGGGCGUAAAGGGCUCGUAGGUGGCCAACUAAGUCAGACGUGAAAUCCCUCGGCUUAACCGGGGAACUGCGUCUGAUACUGGAUGGCUUGAGUGUGGGAGAGGGAUGCGGAAUUCCAGGUGUAGCGGUGAAAUGCGUAGAUAUCUGGAGGAACACCGGUGGCGAAGGCGGCAUCCUGGACCGGCAUUGACGCUGAGGCGCGAAAGCCAGGGGAGCAAACGGG
rnacentral:rRNA from 1 species